CCAAUUCUCUUCAUUCCAAUGCCAAAAUGGCAUUGGAAUGAAGAGAAUUGG
rnacentral:miRNA from 1 species